rnacentral:rRNA from 1 species
GACGGAGGGUGCUAGCGUUGUUCGGAAUGACUGGGCGUAAAGGGCGCGUAGGCGGCCGCUUGCGUCGGAUGUGAAGGCCCGGGGCUCAACCCCGGAACGGCAUCCGAUACGGGGCGGCUCGAGACCGAGAGAGGUGAGUGGAAUACCCAGUGUAGAGGUGAAAUUCGUAGAUAUUGGGUGGAACACCGGUGGCGAAAGCGGCUCACUGGCUCGGUUCUGACGCUGAGGCGCGAAAGCGUGGGGAGCAAACAGG